AUUGAACGCUGGCGGCAGGCCUAACACAUGCAAGUCGAAGGUAGUGGCGGACGGGUGAGUAACGCGUAGGUAACUGCCUAUUAGAGGGGGAUAACUAUUGGAAACGAUAGCUAAUACCGCAUACUAGUAGAUGUACCUGUGUUGUAUUAGCUGGUAGGUUGGGUAAUGGCCUACCUAGGCGAUGAUACAUGGCCGACCUGAGGGGGUUGUCUGCCAAGCUGGGAGUGGGGAACGGCCCAAACCCCUACGGGGGGCAGCAGUAGGGGAUCUUCGGCAAUGGGGGGAACCCUGAACGAGCAACGCCGCGUGAGUGAAGAAGGUUUUCAGGUCGUAAAGCUCUUUUGUUCAGGAAGCGGUACGUAACCAGAAAGGGACGGCUAACUACGUGCCAGCCGCCGCGGUAAUAC
rnacentral:rRNA from 1 species